rnacentral:rRNA from 1 species
CCUACGGGUGGCUGCAGUGGGGAAUAUUGGACAAUGGGCGAAAGCCUGAUCCAGCCAUGCCGCGUGUGUGAAGAAGGCCUUCGGGUUGUAAAGCACUUUCAGUGGGGAAGAAAGCCUUGGGGCUAAUACCCUCGAGGAAGGACAUCACCCACAGAAGAAGCACCGGCUAACUCCGUGCCAGCAGCCGCGGUAAUACGGAGGGUGCGAGCGUUAAUCGGAAUUACUGGGCGUAAAGCGCGCGUAGGCGGUCUGAUAAGCCGGUUGUGAAAGCCCCGGGCUCAACCUGGGAACGGCAUCCGGAACUGUCAGGCUAGAGUGCAGGAGAGGAAGGUAGAAUUCCCGGUGUAGCAGUGAAAUGCGUAGAGAUCGGGAGGAAUACCAGUGGCGAAGGCGGCCUUCUGGACUGACACUGACGCUGAGGUGCGAAAGCGUGGGUAGCAAACAGGAUUAGCUACCCUAGUAGUC